AGAGUUUGAUCCUGGCUCAGAACGAACGCUGACGGCGGGCUUAACACAUGCAAGUCGAACGAGAAAGCUCUAGCUUGCUAGAGCAAGUAAAGUGGCGCACGGGUGAGUAACGCGUGGUUAAUUCACCCCUUGGUUUGGGAUAACGCGCCGAAAGGUGCGCUAAUACCGGAUAAGACCACGGUGUCUGUGGACGCUGGGGUAAAAAAGAGCCUCUACAAUGUAAGCUCUUGCCGAGGGACAAGACCGCGUCCCAUUAGCUUGUUGGUGAGGUAACGGCUCACCAAGGCCACGAUGGGUAGCUGAUCUGAGAGGAUGAUCAGCCACACUGGGACUGAAACACGGCCCAGACUCCUACGGGAGGCAGCAGUGAGGAAUCUUGCGCAAUGGGGGAAACCCUGACGCAGCCACGCCGUGUGGGUGAAGAAGGCCUUCGGGUCGUAAAGCCCUGUCAGGUGGGAAGAACCACAAUCGGACAAAUAAUCCGAUUGUCUGACGGUACCAUCAAAGGAAGCACCGGCUAACUCCGUGCCAGCAGCCGCGGUAAUACGGAGGGUGCGAGCGUUGUUCGGAAUUAUUGGGCGUAAAGAGCGUGUAGGCGGACUGGCAAGUCAGAUGUGAAAGCCCCGGGCUUAACCCGGGAAGGGCAUCUGAAACUGUCAGCCUUGAGUCCCGGAGAGGGUUGUGGAAUUCCCGGUGUAGAGGUGAAAUUCGUAGAUAUCGGGAGGAACACCAGUGGCGAAGGCGACAACCUGGACGAGGACUGACGCUGAGACGCGAAAGCGUGGGGAGCAAACAGGAUUAGAUACCCUGGUAGUCCACGCUGUAAACGGUGUUCACUAGGUGUAGCGGGUAUUGACCCCUGCUGUGCCGCAGCUAACGCAUUAAGUGAACCGCCUGGGGAGUACGACCGCAAGGUUAAAACUCAAAGGAAUUGACGGGGGCCCGCUCAAGCGGUGGAGCAUGUGGUUUAAUUCGACGCAACGCGAAGAACCUUACCUGGGUUUGACAUCCCCUGAUAGGCUACGAAAGUAGAUUUCCACUUCGGUGGCAGGGUGACAGGUGCUGCAUGGCUGUCGUCAGCUCGUGUCGUGAGAUGUUUGGUUAAGUCCAGCAACGAGCGCAACCCCUUUCUCUAGUUGCUAGUAUUAAGUUAGGCGCUCUAGAGAUACUGCCUCGGUUAACGGGGAGGAAGGUGGGGAUGACGUCAAGUCCUCAUGGCCCUUAUGUCCAGGGCUACACACGUGCUACAAUGGUCGGUACAAAGGGCUGCAAUAUCGCGAGAUGGAGCCAAUCCCAGAAAGCCGGCCUCAGUUCGGAUUGGAGUCUGCAACUCGACUCCAUGAAGUUGGAAUCGCUAGUAAUCCCGGAUCAGCAUGCCGGGGUGAAUACGUCCCCGGGCCUUGUACACACCGCCCGUCACACCACGAGAGUCUGCUGUACCAGAAGUGGCUGGGCCAACCCGUAAGGGAGGCAGGUCCCCAAGGUAUGGUCGGUGAUUGGGGUGAAGUCUUAACAAGGUA
rnacentral:rRNA from 1 species